UACCAGCUCUCCGAGUGGUAGGGAUGAUUAUUGGGCUUAAAGCGUCCGUAGCCGGCUUAGCAAGUCCCCUGUUAAAUUCAGCGACCUAAUCGUUGAGCCGCGGGAGAUACUACUAGGCUAGGAGGCGGGAGAGGUCGACGGUACUUCUGGGGUAGGGGUGAAAUCCUAUAAUCCCGGGAGGACCACCAGUGGCGAAGGCUGUCGACUGGAACGCGCUCGACGGUGAGGGACGAAAGCUGGGGGAGCGAACCGGAUUAGAUACCCGGGUAGUCCCAGCUGUAAACGAUGCGGGCUAGGUGUUGGGGUGGCUACGUGCCACUUCAGUGCCGCAGGGAAGCCAUUAAGCCCGCCGCCUGGGGAGUACGGCCGCAAGGCUGAAACUUAAAGGAAUUGGCGGGGGAGCACCACAAGGCGUGAAGCUUGCGGUUC
rnacentral:rRNA from 1 species